rnacentral:rRNA from 1 species
AUUGAACGCUGGCGGCAGGCCUAACACAUGCAAGUCGAGCGGAUGAGAGGAGCUUGCUCCUGGAUUCAGCGGCGGACGGGUGAGUAAUGCCUAGGAAUCUGCCUGGUAGUGGGGGACAACGUUUCGAAAGGAACGCUAAUACCGCAUACGUCCUACGGGAGAAAGCAGGGGACCUUCGGGCCUUGCGCUAUCAGAUGAGCCUAGGUCGGAUUAGCUAGUUGGUGAGGUAAUGGCUCACCAAGGCGACGAUCCGUAACUGGUCUGAGAGGAUGAUCAGUCACACUGGAACUGAGACACGGUCCAGACUCCUACGGGAGGCAGCAGUGGGGAAUAUUGGACAAUGGGCGAAAGCCUGAUCCAGCCAUGCCGCGUGUGUGAAGAAGGUCUUCGGAUUGUAAAGCACUUUAAGUUGGGAGGAAGGAUUGUAGAUUAAUACUCUGCAAUUUUGACGUUACCGACAGAAUAAGCACCGGCUAACUCUGUGCCAGCAGCCGCGGUAAUACAGAGGGUGCAAGCGUUAAUCGGAAUUACUGGGCGUAAAGCGCGCGUAGGUGGUUUGUUAAGUUGGAUGUGAAAUCCCCGGGCUCAACCUGGGAACUGCAUCCAAAACUGGCAAGCUAGAGUAUGGUAGAGGGUGGUGGAAUUUCCUGUGUAGCGGUGAAAUGCGUAGAUAUAGGAAGGAACACCAGUGGCGAAGGCGACCACCUG